rnacentral:lncRNA from 1 species
AAUCAAUCACCAGAUGCUCUGGAUUGCUGCCUCAGCAAUGAUUAACAAGUGUGGCAGGUCAACGGCAAGCGCAGAUCUCUGCAGCCAAGAGAACGCCUUGGCCUCCCCCAAAGGGAACAUAUUAAUUAAAGUUUUAUUUUGGAGAGUUCUGAACUGUGCAUAGAUGAAUACUGAAAUCGCAUCCCCUGAACUCCAGACUCUUAUAUUCAAAUAUCUACCUGAAUACCUCCACUUGAAUGUAUGGAAUCUCCAUUGGCCAAAUCCCACUAGAAGUCAGAAGGAAUGGGAACCCUGCUGAUGUUAGUCCACAGAAGCCAGGAUCCUUGGCAGAGCACAGAGUGAAGAAGAAUGGAGAGUUGGUAUACAGGGAUUUUGCUAUCAAGAUUACGCCACCCUGAUGACAAGAUUUAAGGAGUGUUCCUCCGUUUCUACACUAGGAAUAAUUUGUGGUGAGAAGACCACAAGGCCCAUGGACAUGCCCUUCCUCCCCUGGAGAACUUCUUCCAAGCCUUCCUGGUCUGCCCCAGGAGGGUGGACAGAAAGCUGGAGAGCACAUUGCAAAGGCCUGAGCUGGGGAAGGGGUGUGUCUACACGAGCCGGGGUAGGUUGUUCUUGGGAGAGGAUGGCGUUGGGACACAGAGGGCUCUCUGAGACCAGCUCUCCCCACUUUGCCCAAACUUAAAAGCUUGAGAAGUCCAAGAAUUCUAGUAAACUUAAGAAGGUGUAUUUGCUGAGGCAGGAAUAGCUUGUUAGCUUGAUUUACACCUUUUAAAUAUUUAGGUAUAUGGCAUGUGGACUUUCAUUUUUGCUCUUGACUGGGUCCUGCAAACAUUAAAGACAGGACUAUGAGUGUGUAUAUAAUUGGUGGGUAUUUUCUGUAUUUGUUUACUUAAAAUCUGUAUGUGGAAUCUCUACAUUAGAAUCCUGAGAUUUCAGUAAUAAAAUCAGCAUUUUAUUUGAAUAGCUUAUGCUGGAUAUUUAUCAGGAAGUAAAAAUAACUUUCAUCAUACAUGGCCUAGAACAGAACU